rnacentral:rRNA from 1 species
UAGAGUUUGAUCCUGGCUCAGGACGAACGCUGGCGGCGCGCCUAACACAUGCAAGUCGAACGAGCGAGAGAGAGCUUGCUUUCUCGAGCGAGUGGCGAACGGGUGAGUAACGCGUGAGGAACCUGCCUCAAAGAGGGGGACAACAGUUGGAAGCGACUGCUAAUACCGCAUAAGCCCACGGCUCGGCAUCGAGCAGAGGGAAAAGGAGCAAUCCGCUUUGAGAUGGCCUCGCGUCCGAUUAGCUAGUUGGUGAGGUAACGGCCCACCAAGGCGACGAUCAGUAGCCGGACUGAGAGGUUGAACGGCCACAUUGGGACUGAGACACGGCCCAGACUCCUACGGGAGGCAGCAGUGGGGAAUAUUGCACAAUGGGGGAAACCCUGAUGCAGCGACGCCGCGUGGAGGAAGAAGGUCUUCGGAUUGUAAACUCCUGUUGUUGGGGAAGAUAAUGACGGUACCCAACAAGGAAGUGACGGCUAACUACGUGCCAGCAGCCGCGGUAAAACGUAGGUCACAAGCGUUGUCCGGAAUUACUGGGUGUAAAGGGAGCGCAGGCGGGAAGACAAGUUGGAAGUGAAAUCUAUGGGCUCAACCCAUAAACUGCUUUCAAAACUGUUUUUCUUGAGUAGUGCAGAGGUAGGCGGAAUUCCCGGUGUAGCGGUGGAAUGCGUAGAUAUCGGGAGGAACACCAGUGGCGAAGGCGGCCUACUGGGCACCAACUGACGCUGAGGCUCGAAAGUGUGGGUAGCAAACAGGAUUAGAUACCCUGGUAGUCCACACCGUAAACGAUGAUUACUAGGUGUUGGAGGAUUGACCCCUUCAGUGCCGCAGUUAACACAAUAAGUAAUCCACCUGGGGAGUACGACCGCAAGGUUGAAA